rnacentral:misc_RNA from 1 species
GAUGAAGAACGUAGCGAAAUGCGAUAAGUAAUGUGAAUUGCAGAAUUCAGUGAAUCAUCGAAUCUUUGAACGCACAUUGCGCCCCCUGGCAUUCCGGGGGGCAUGCCUGUUCGAGCGUCAUUACAACCCUCAAGCUCUGCUUGGUAUUGGGCUCUGCUGGGACCGGCAGGCCUUAAAAUCAGUGGCGGCGCCACUCGGCUUCAAGCGUAGUAAUUCUUCUCGCUUCGGAGACCCGGGUGCGUGCUAGCCAGCAACCCCCAACUUUCUUAGGUUGACCUCGGAUCAGGUAGGGAUACCCGCUGAACUUAAGCAUAUCAAUAACGGAGGA